CCCUUAGAUGUUCUGGGCGGCCCGCGCACUACAAUGGCGUGUGCAGCGAGUGCCGAAGUAGAGUUUUCCGAGGUAUUCUUGCAAUGCUCGUUUUGAUGGGGAUAGACCCUUGCAACUGUUGGUUUUGAACGAGGAAUUCCUUGUAAGCAUGGUUUAUCAUCCGACGCUGAAUGCGUCCCUGCCCUUUGUACACACCGCCCGUCGCACCUACCGAUUGGAUGGUCCGGUGAAGCCUCGGGAUUGUGGUUCUUGCCGCUUUAUUGUGGCGUGACCGCGAGAACUUGUCUAAACCUUAUCAUCUAGAGGAAGGUGAAGUCGUAACA
rnacentral:rRNA from 1 species